GUGAAUCAUCAAAUCUUUGAACGCAAACUGCACUCUCUGGUAUUCCGUAGAGUAUGCCUGUUUGAGGGUCAUUUUAAAUAAAAAUCGGUGUUUGUGCUUGCGUUCCUGUUGACGCACCGGAUUUGGAUUGUCUUGCCUUCGGCUAAGUGACCUAAAUUUUUGCAUGAUUUUUUUCGAAUGUACUUAUAUGAGGUGACGUACGUUUGCGAUAUCGAAUACUAGGUGUGGGCAUCUUCAUGAGUCGCGCCUAUAAUUUUUCAUUAAAAUGAC
rnacentral:misc_RNA from 1 species